GGAUGAAGCUGACUUGAUCUGGCUGUGACAUCUGUCACCCUAUUGAUGGCCAGGGUUGAUUUGGCUGAUCUGGCUGGCUAGGCGGGUGUCCCCUUCCUCCCUCACUGCUCCAUGUAUAUUAGCCCUUUGUGCACUCGGUCAAAGAGGAUGACCAUCCCUGAUAGAGGAGGACUGCAGUCUUUGGUCAAGGGUAUAGGAGUAGCUGCACUCCCUUGCUAGAACCUCCAAACAAGUUCUCAAAACAAAAUUUUUAAUUAGCCAGUUGUGGUGGCAUACACCUCUCUCCCACCCACUCAAGAGGCUGAGGCAAGAG
rnacentral:snRNA from 10 species